rnacentral:rRNA from 1 species
UACGAGGGCAGCGUUGUUCGGAUUACUGGGCGUAAAGGGCGCGUAGGCGGCGUGGUAAGUCAGCUGUGAAAUCUCCGAGCUUAACUCGGAACGGUCAGCUGAUACUGCUGUGCUAGAGUACAGAAGGGGCAAUCGGAAUUCUUGGUGUAGCGGUGAAAUGCGUAGAUAUCAAGAGGAACACCUGAGGUGAAGACGGGUUGCUGGGCUGAUACUGACGCUGAGGCGCGAAAGCUAGGGUAGCAAAC